UCUCACUUGGUGUAGCGGUCAGCAUUCUGCCCUGUCACGGCAGCGACCCGAGUUCAAUUCUCGGAGUGAGAG
rnacentral:tRNA from 1 species